rnacentral:rRNA from 1 species
UACGGGGGGGGCAAGCGUUGUUCGGAAUUACUGGGCGUAAAGGGCUCGUAGGCGGCCAACUAAGUCAGACGUGAAAUCCCUCAGCUUAACUGGGGAACUGCGUCUGAUACUGGAUGGCUUGAGUGUAGGAGAGGAAUGCGGAAUUCCAGGUGUAGCGGUGAAAUGCGUAGAUAUCUGGAGGAACACCGGUGGCGAAGGCGGCAUUCUGGACUACAACUGACACUGAGGAACGAAAGCCAGGGGAGCAAACGGG